CAGGGAUGUUGGAUUCUGGUGUUGGAGGACCAAGUAUUAGGUCUGGGCUUGAUGUUCACCGAUUUUCCCUCAGCUCCGACUGUGGCUCCUCUCAGCUGACUCUGACCCUGCUCUCAGCCGGGCUGCAUCUGCCCAUCUCAGCACAUCAAUAAACAGCAGAGGGAAACUACCACCUUGGAAGGAGCCAGGCAGUUUCUGCUGGGUAGGCCGCAGCCUGGAACAUGGAAGUAGCUUCUUCCAUCCUACACUGGAAACCACCCAGCAUCCCGGGCCCUCCAGAGAAGAGCCAGACUCCCUUCCCUGGGAAGAGACUAUAGUCCUAUCUGUAUCCUCCGUGGUCAUUGCCCCUCAGUCACAGCAAUGAAGAGCAAAUUACCUGUUUUCUGUAUGUUCCUCUGACAACAACUGCCACAGAGUAAAUAUGAAAGGUUCUGGAUGAUUCCUUGUCAGCUUUUAUUAAAAUUCCAC
rnacentral:lncRNA from 1 species